rnacentral:misc_RNA from 1 species
GAUGAAGAACGUAGUGAAAUGCGAUACUUGGUGUGAAUUGCAGAAUCCCGUGAACCAUCGAGUCUUUGAACGCAAGUUGCGCCCGAAGCCAUCAGGUUGAGGGCACGUCUGCCUGGGCGUCACAUAUCGUUGCCCAAUGCCUAUUGCAGUGCAAUAGGAAUUUCUAGGGCGAAUGAUGGCUUCCCGUGAGCGUUGUUGCCUCGCGGUUGGUUGAAAAUCGAGUCCUUGGUAGGGUGUGCCAUGGUAGAUGGUGGUCGAGUUAGAACGAUACCGAUCAUGUGCAUGCUCCCCAAAAUAUGGCCUCUAUGACCCACACGCGUCUUUUGACGCUCAUGACGAGACCUCAGGUCAGGCGGGGCUACCCGCUGAAUUUAAGCAUAUUCAAUAAGCGGAGGA